rnacentral:rRNA from 1 species
GUAGGUGGCAAGCGUUGUCCGGAAUUAUUGGGCGUAAAGCGCGCGCAGGCGGUCCUUUAAGUCUGAUGUGAAAGCCCACGGCUCAACCGUGGAGGGUCAUUGGAAACUGGGGGACUUGAGUACAGAAGAGGAAAGCGGAAUUCCAAGUGUAGCGGUGAAAUGCGUAGAGAUUUGGAGGAACACCAGUGGCGAAGGCGGCUUUCUGGUCUGUAACUGACGCUGAGGCGCGAAAGCGUGGGGAGCAAACAGGAUUAGAUACCCUGGUAGUCCACGCCGUAAACGAUGAGUGCUAAGUGUUAGGGGGUUUCCCGCCCCCUUAGUGCUGCAGCUAACGCAUUAGGCACUCCGCCUGGGGGAGUACGGCCGCAAGGCUG